rnacentral:rRNA from 5 species
UUAAAUUGAAGAGUUUGAUCAUGGCUCAGAUUGAACGCUGGCGGCAGGCCUAACACAUGCAAGUCGAACGGUAGCACAGAGAGCUUGCUCUCGGGUGACGAGUGGCGGACGGGU